UCGAAUUAACUCCUAAAAAUGACUCAAAUUAAAAAAUUCUCAAAAUAAACUUAAUUUCUUGAAAUGUAAAUUAAUCUAAUCCAGAUCAAAUGAGGUAAUUAUCGCAUAGCAAAUGUCAACAUUAUCGUCAUACAUCAAAUAGAAAAAGACAAUAGCACGGCCAGCGGUCCAACGAAUUGAGGACCGAAUUAAAAACCACAACAAACC
rnacentral:lncRNA from 1 species